rnacentral:tRNA from 1 species
GGACAGGUGGCCGAGUGGUUUAAGGCAGCGGUCUUGAAAACCGCCGUAGCGGCAACGUUACCGAGGGUUCGAAUCCCUCCCUGUCCGCCA